rnacentral:rRNA from 1 species
UACGUAGGAGGCAAGCGUUGUCCGGAAUUACUGGGUGUAAAGAGCUCGUAGGCGGUCUGUCGCGUCGGCUGUGAAAACUCGGGGCUCAACCCCGAGCCUGCAUUCGAUACGGGCAGACUAGAGUGCUGUAGGGGAGACUGGAAUUCCUGGUGUAGCGGUGAAAUGCGCAGAUAUCAGGAGGAACACCGGUGGCGAAGGCGGGUCUCUGGGCAGUAACUGACGCUGAGGAGCGAAAGCGUGGGGAGCAAACAGG